UACGGAGGGGGCUAGCGUUGUUCGGAAUUACUGGGCGUAAAGCGCACGUAGGCGGCUUUGCAAGUCAGAGGUGAAAGCCCGGGGCUCAACCCCCGGAAUAGCCUUUGAGACUGCAUCGCUUGAACAUCGGAGAGGUAAGUGGAAUUCCGAGUGUAGAGGUGAAAUUCGUAGAUAUUCGCAAGAACACCAGUGGCGAAGGCGGCUCACUGGCCCGGUACUGACGCUGAGGUGCGAAAGCGUGGGGAGCAAACAGG
rnacentral:rRNA from 1 species